rnacentral:rRNA from 1 species
GACGAACGCUGGCGGCGUGCUUAACACAUGCCAGUCGAACGGAAAGGCCCUGCUUUUGUGGGGUGCUCGAGUGGCGAACGGGUGAGUAACACGUGAGUAACCUGCCCUUGACUUUGGAAUAACUUCAGGAAACUGGGGCUAAUACCGGAUAGGAGCUCCUGCUGCAUGGUGGGGGUUGGAAAGUUUCGGCGGUUGGGGAUGGACUCGCGGCUUAUCAGCUUGUUGGUGGGGUAGUGGCUUACCAAGGCUUUGACGGGUAGCCGGCCUGAGAGGGUGACCGGCCACAUUGGGACUGAGAUACGGCCCAGACUCCUACGGGAGGCAGCAGUGGGGAAUAUUGCACAAUGGGCGGAAGCCUGAUGCAGCAACGCCGCGUGCGGGAUGACGGCCUUCGGGUUGUAAACCGCUUUCGCCUGUGACGAAGCGUGAGUGACGGUAAUGGGUAAAGAAGCACCGGCUAACUACGUG